rnacentral:rRNA from 1 species
UACGGAGGAUGCGAGCGUUAUCCGGAUUUAUUGGGUUUAAAGGGUGCGUAGGCGGGCUUUUAAGUCAGCGGUAAAAAUUCGGGGCUCAACCCCGUCCGGCCGUUGAAACUGGGGGCCUUGAGUGGGCGAGAAGAAGGCGGAAUGCGUGGUGUAGCGGUGAAAUGCAUAGAUAUCACGCAGAACCCCGAUUGCGAAGGCAGCCUUCCGGCGCCCUACUGACGCUGAGGCACGAAAGUGCGGGAAUCGAACAGG